rnacentral:rRNA from 1 species
CCCUUAGAUGUCCUGGGCCGCACGCGCGCUACACUGAACGGAUCAGCGCGUUUUCCCUUCCCGAGAGGGACGGGUAACCUGCUGAACCCCGUUCGUGGUAGGGAUCGGGGCUUGCAAUUAUUCCCCGUGAACCAGGAAUGCCCAGUAAGUGCAAGUCAUAAGCUUGCGUUGAUUACGUCCCUGCCCUUUGUACACACCGCCCGUCGCUACCACCGAUUGAACGUUUUAGUGAGGUACUCGGACUGAGCCUCAGAAGAUUCACGUCUUUUGUGCUGCUCGGGAAGAUUCCCAAACUUGAGCGUUUAGAGGAAGUAAAAGUCGUAACA